rnacentral:rRNA from 1 species
GAGUAACGCGUAUGCAACCUACCUAUCAGGAGGGGAAUAACCCGGCGAAAGUCGGACUAAUACCGCAUAAAACAGGGGCACCGCAUGGUGAUAUUUGUUAAAGAAAUUCGCUGAUAGAUGGGCAUGCGUUCCAUUAGGUAGUUGGUGAGGUAACGGCUCACCAAGCCGACGAUGGAUAGGGGAACUGAGAGGUUGGUCCCCCACACUGGUACUGAGACACGGACCAGACUCCUACGGGAGGCAGCAGUGAGGAAUAUUGGUCAAUGGGCGAGAGCCUGAACCAGCCAAGUCGCGUAGAAGGAAGAAGGAUCUAUGGUUACGUAAACUUCUUUUGCGAGGGGAAUAAAGUGCAGGACGUGUCCUGUUUUGUAUAUACCCUGAGAAUAAGGAUCGGCUAACUCCGUGCCAGCAGCCGC